GUCGACGCAUUCUUCGGAUGAGUGGCGCACGGCUGAGGAACACGUGACUAACCUACCCCGGUGUGGGGGAUAACGGGUCGAAAGACUCGCUAAUCCCGCAUACGAUCCGCCUCGGCGGAGGAAAGCCGUAAGGCGCACUGGGCGGGGGUCGCGUCCCAUUAGAUAGUUGGUGUGGUAAUGGCGCACCAAGUCGAUGAUGGGUCUCUGGUCUGAGAGGACGACCAGACAGAUUGGGACUGAGACACGGCCCAAACUCCUACGGGGGGCAGCAGCAAGGAAUUUUCGGCAAUGGGCGCAAGCCUGACCGAGCAACGCCGCGUGGAGGAUGACGGCUCUUGGGUUGUAAACUCCUUUUGGGGGGGACGAUAAUGACGGUACCCUCCGAAUCAGGCCCGGCUAACUACGUGCCAGCAGCCGCGGUAAUACGUAGGGGCCAAGCGUUGUCCGGAAUUACUGGGCGUAAAGCGUGGGUAGGUGGUCGGUGAUGUGCCGCGUGAAAGCGCCGGAGUAAUGCCGGCGAGGUCGCGGUAGACACACGGACUCGAGGCUCGCAGAGGAACGUGGAAUUCCCGGUGUAGUGGUGAAAUGCGUAGAUAUCGGGAGGAACACCAGUGGCGCAAGCGGCGUUCUGGGCGAGACCUGACACUGAGCCACGACGGCGUGGGGAGCAAACAGGAUUAGAUACCCUGGUAGUCCACGCAGUAAACGAUGCAUACCAGGUGUGGGAUGGCGUUCGCGUCGUUCCGUGCCGCA
rnacentral:rRNA from 1 species